rnacentral:pre_miRNA from 1 species
AGUGAGAUUGAUGGGUCAAAUGGAGUUUCCAUUUCAAGUUUUCUAAGGAAUCUCCAUACUGCUUUCCAGAGUGGUUGCAACAAUUUGCAGUCCCACCAGCAAU